GAUUCACAUCUCAAUUGUCCAUUA
rnacentral:siRNA from 1 species